rnacentral:lncRNA from 1 species
AAUUUUUCUCUUCCAGCAGUACAAGCACAUUUUUACAGCAUUACUUUUACAACUUCUAUAUUGUUUCCUUCGCAGUUUCUAUUUUCUUUUUCAGCACUUAGUUAAUUCUUUUUUGCACAAUAGUUUCUACACCGGAAACUAUUGUGUACCUUUCACCGGAUCUAACCUUACGUUAGAAUCUAGUUUUUAUUUUUAUUCCUUCGCUUUU